AGACCACGAAGAAGAUCAUCUUGAGGCUUCAGUGCCAAAACUGCAAGCACUCUCUCAACACUCGAUCAAGGUGACAUCGGCCUUGGGCUCAUCACUGUUCAAGCGAUGCAAGAAGAAAACACUGAAAAGCAGAGCACUAAAUAAAAAAUGAGACAACAUGUCUGGCCAAGAGUCAUAGUACUCAAACGAACUGUAAGACAUCAGAGACGAAGAACCCUGAGGUGCAACUUCCAUCCCCAUACUGAAACGUGUAAGCGCAAAUGUUGUUCUGAGUAGAACAGCCUGAAUUAGAGGACUGAACACCCCAGCUGCAUCUUUGGUCAGAACAUGAGAUUGGUGUCGUUGUUACUGAGCUCCCUGGAUCAGAGUAAGUCAUAGCAACAGAUUAAUCUCAAAUCAGAGGAUUUUAAAAUAAAAAAGACAUGAAAAUCACAAAACAUCACAGUGAAUCACAUUAACUCAAAUCAGAGAAUUUACUUGAGGAGUUUACUGGUUUGAGGGCAGCCAUUGCAAAAAGCACAACUAACCCACAAAACAUCACCUCAUGUGUCAAUCUGUACGUAAAAGGCUCUUGGGGGAGAUCACAGCCGCAAUUUCGUGUAGUAUGAUCUGUUUAAAAUACGAACACCAAACUGAGCAGAAGACAACAAAACCAGAGAAACAACUAUUUGAUUGAGACAUGAGAAAAGCAGACAAUAACUCAAACACCUUAUAGGCAAUUAAAAUCAUGUAUUGAGAAGAUAAAGAUGGAAACUUUAGUUACCCAACAACUAAAGGAUCAAAAGUUCCCUUGACAGGAUAUUUAAUAAUCUGCCGUGUGACUGUAACAAUAUGUCGUAUCUAGCUUGAUCAUGCAACUUGAGUUGAAUGAUUUCCAUCUCGUGACUAAAGGGAAUAGCUUUUUCCAGUUUCAGCGCUGCCUGAACUCUCAUCCUCAUCUCAACUCCAUCUCCUGAAAAAUAAUCUUUGCCAUAGCUUUUUUCCAGUGGCAGCUAAGAUCUUCCACCUCCAUCUGGUUUGUAUUGAGCCAAGAGUAUAUAAGACAAAAGCAUAAGCAAUCCAUAGUGUUUAUCAACAAAUCUUAUGGAGAAGAAAGAGAAAAACAAAAAGACAAACAAAAUCUAGAGUUUGAUAAACAUAACAGCCGUGGAAGAACAACAUUUGCUUUCAAAUCAGAGUGGAAGACAAAUGAUGCAGCCAUUAUAGAAAAAAUAAGAAAUCUCUCGAUAAUAGGAGAUGAAAAGAUGAUGUUCAAGGGAUGAAUAAUUACCUUUUUAUAGGAGAGAAUCACAGACUGGAAACUGAAUAAGAUUCAUUGAAUUCUUGAUCGUGGUCCUAGUGGCGAGGAAGAGUUAAGUUUGUGUUAAUUAUGCCAAUCUCUGCAACUUGUAACGGUUCGGAGGUAAGACAAAACGAUCAGAACAUAAAUGGACUUUGAGAUUAUUGACAAAAUGUAUACGAAAAUCUCAGAACUGCAAUUGUUAACAUACAGAAUGGAAGAUUCCUAAAGCUGGUGAACCCUAAAUUUCAGACUGAGAAGAAGAUGCAAGUGUCAUGGGCCAGCCCAUGAACAUAACACAAAACAAUAGCGAAGCCCGUAACAAUUAAAUGAGGAAACCGUACGUUUUGGUCAAGUGGACACGUGGCCGGCUAGGAAGAGAUGAAUUAGUGAUGUGGAGGCACAGGAGAGAGGCAAACAAUACUUUAUAUAUAUAGAUUAGUAUAUUAUUUAUAAUUAGCUUAUUUCUGAAUAAUAUAGGUAUAUUAUAUUUAUAAUAUAUUUUUUAUUUGUUUAUUGGUAAUAAUGAAUUAUAUUUUAAAUGUGAAAUGAUUUUACUGAAAAAUAAAUUUAAAUUUACUUUUUUUAUAAAAAAUUAAAAUUUAUUUCAAAAUUUAUUUCUUUAAAUUCAAAUUUUUUUUAAAAGUUCAAAAUUUAUUUUUAAAAAUUGUUUUUAUUUUAAUUUUUUUAACUAAUUUUUAAAACAAAAUAGUUUGAUUUUUUUUAAAAAAAAUUAAGUUAUACGAAAAUUUUUGGAUAUAAAUAUUAUUUGUAAUACUAUUUUUAAAAAAAUUGAAAUUAUUUUUAAAAAUUAUAUAGUUUUUGGAUAUACAUAUUAAGGUAAUCCUCCAUAAUAGUCUCUUUUGAGUUUUUAUCUCAAAAAUAGCACUAGAAACUAAAAAUCACAAAAUAACAUUCAUUAAUACACUAAAUGACCUUAUUAUCCUUGCUUUAUAUUAAAUAAAAUAAUAAAUUAGUAAAUCUCUCCGAUCUUUCUCUCACGACUCAAAAUCUCUAUGAUCUCUCUCACGACGGGCCGCCGACGAAAUUUCACCAACUCCGGCGACGAUGAACACUGUCGUCAUCUCCGACGAGCACGAAGCUUUGAUUCUCCAAUGCCAUCUCGAACAAAAUCAUAAUUACAAAGAAGGAAUCUCAGGAAGCUUCAUUUACAGAGCUUUAUCCUCGUGAUUUUCGUUAUGGGUCUUGCGCUUAUCUCACGACCUCUCUUGCCAUCAUUACUGCUGCUCUUACUGCCUUAAGCUUAGCUUUCCAAAGAGACAGGUUAUUUUGAUUUCUCCUUUAAUUUCUACUUUUAUAUCCCUUUUUACAUAUUUAUUUGUUGUUUGUUUGCAUCUAUUGAAUGUGUUUAGAAAAUGUGUGUGACGAUGUUUUAGUUCUCUUGUUCCUCUAAAAGUUAUAGCUUUUUCUAGUUCACAACAUACAUAAAAGUUAAAACUUUUCAUGUUUUCUUUAUUCGCAACUGUAAUGUGCCUAAGAUGACUGUUUAGUACUGCGUUUUUGUUGUCCAGCGAGGGAAAGGUCCUUGGAAGUUGUUGGAGCUCAAAUCAAAGGCUGCUGAAUUGUGAGAACACAAGGUUUUGAGGAUAGAAACAAGAUGAGAGAUUCAGUACCUCUCAAACUAGCACUGCUUGGACUAAAGAUGCGACAGAGCCUUUGACUGUGAUCAUUUCGCCAAACAAUAAAAAGAUGGAAACAAAGGCAACAAAUGAGACACCUACCUUUCUAAUAGCUUAAUCGAGUACUGAGAAUCCAGUUUUUACUCCAAAUCAGACGCAGUAGCAACAAAUGAGACACUUGCCCCUCCAAUAGCUCAACCGAGUACUGAGACUCUAGUUUUUACUCCAAAUCAUUGCAGCAGAUGGGAACAGAGGCAACGAAUGAGACACAUGCCUCUCCAAUAGCUCAACCGAGUAAUGAGACUCUAGUUUUUACUCCAAAUCAGACGCAAUGGAAUGAGGCAGAGCCAUCAUAUGAGACGCCAUCCAAGCCGAAUCAAGCAGAAGAAAAUCUUGACGAUGAGAGCCUUUGACUGAGAUCAUUUCAGGAAAUAAUGAAAAGGAAAAUACACAAGCUUUGGAUAACACACCUGCCCCUACAAUGUCUACACCAAUUCUUGAUCAAAAUCAGAAUGCUGAUGCUGAGAUACAGACUGAAACUCAAAUUCUUCCACCUAAUGUGACACAACAAGCUGAGACAAAGACUGGGACCCAUUUUUUUUCCGUAAGAGAGAGAGAGAGCCAUCAGAUGAGAUGCCAUUCCAACCGAAUCAAGCAGAAGAAAAUCUUGACGAUGAAGAUAUUAUAGAGCCUAUAGCAUUAUGAACAUGUUUUUUGUAGGAUGCUACAAAGCCUUUGACUGUGAUUAUUUCGCCAAACAAUAAAAAGAUGGAAACAGAGGCAACGAAUGAGACACCUGCCUCUCCAAUAGCUCAACCGAGUACUAAGACUCCAGUUUUUACUCCAAAUCAGACGCAGCAGGUACAUGCUCAAAAUCUUAGAAUUUUCAAGUAAUUUUUGGAUGCUUUUGUAUGAUCCCCUUCCUAAUUUUUUUUGGGAGAUAGGAACAGAAGCAACGUUUAAACGAUGUAUAAAACUACUUCAGUUAGUGUAGAAACAUCAAUGAAGUUUUAAGAGUAUCAGAAGUUUCAGCUGUCUUGAAGCAUUUUUAGGAAUUUUAUUAAGAAAAUCUUAAUGUGAUACUAUUAUAAGGCAUAUAUGUUAUCUAAGAUAUCCAUCAAAAUAUUUUAAAGAUAAAGUAUUGAUCUCACAUGUGUUCCAUAGUGUAAAGAUGAUCACAAAGGAAAAUGAUUACUUUCUUGGAGUU